rnacentral:rRNA from 2 species
UUGCCCUAGUAACGGCGAGUGAAGCGGCAACAGCUCAAAUUUGAAAUCUGGCGUCUUUGGCGUCCGAGUUGUAAUUUGCAGAGGGCGCUUUGGCAUUGGCAGCGGUCCAAGUUCCUUGGAACAGGACGUCACAGAGGGUGAGAAUCCCGUACGUGGUCGCUAGCCUUUACCGUGUAAAGCCCCUUCGACGAGUCGAGUUGUUUGGGAAUGCAGCUCUAAAUGGGAGGUAAAUUUCUUCUAAAGCUAAAUACUGGCCAGAGACCGAUAGCGCACAAGUAGAGUGAUCGAAAGAUGAAAAGCACUUUGGAAAGAGAGUUAAAAAGCACGUGAAAUUGUUGAAAGGGAAGCGCUUGCAGCCAGACUUGCCUGUAGUUGCUCAUCCGGGUUUUUACCCGGUGCACUCUUCUAUAGGCAGGCCAGCAUCAGUUUGGGCGGUUGGAUAAAGGUCUCUGUCACGUACCUCCUCUCGGGGAGAACUUAUAGGGGAGACGUAAUGCAACCAGCCUGGACUGAGGUCCGCGCAUCUGCUAGGAUGCUGGCGUAAUGGCUGUAAGCGGCCCGUCUUGAAACACGGACCAAGGAGUCUAACAUCUAUGCGAGUGUUUGGGUGUCAAGCCCGAGCGCGUAAUGAAAGUGAACGGAGGUGGGAACCUUUCGGGGUGCACCAUCGACCGAUCCUGAUGUCUUCGGAUGGAUUUGAGUAAGAGCAUAGCUGUUGGGACCCGAAAGAUGGUGAACUAUGCUUGAAUAGGGUGAAGCCAGAGGAAACUCUGGUGGAGGCUCGCAGCGGUUCUGACGUGCAAAUC